rnacentral:rRNA from 1 species
UACGUAGGUGGCAAGCGUUGUCCGGAUUUACUGGGCGUAAAGGAUGCGUAGGCGGACAUUUAAGUCAGAUGUGAAAUACCCGAGCUUAACUUGGGUGCUGCAUUUGAAACUGGGUGUCUAGAGUGCAGGAGAGGUAAGUGGAAUUCCUAGUGUAGCGGUGAAAUGCGUAGAGAUUAGGAAGAACACCAGUGGCGAAGGCGACUUACUGGACUGUAACUGACGUUGAGGCAUGAAAGCGUGGGGAGCAAACAGG